GACGAACGCUGGCGGCGUGCUUAACACAUGCAAGUCGAACGGUGAUCUCCAGCUUGCUGGGGUGAUCAGUGGCGAACGGGUGAGUAACACGUGAGUAACCUGCCCUCGUCUUCGGGAUAACUGCUGGAAACGGUGGCUAAUACCGAAUAUUCACUUCCUGUCGCAUGGUGGGUGGUGGAAAGUUUUUCGGACGGGGAUGGGCUCGCGGCCUAUCAGCUUGUUGGUGGGGUGAUGGCCUACCAAGGCGACGACGGGUAGCCGGCCUGAGAGGGUGACCGGCCACACUGGGACUGAGACACGGCCCAGACUCCUACGGGUGGCAG
rnacentral:rRNA from 1 species